rnacentral:rRNA from 1 species
CAGGCCUAACACAUGCAAGUCGAACGAUGCCUUCGGGCAUAGUGGCGCACGGGUGCGUAACGCGUGGGAAUCUGCCCUUCGGUUCGGAAUAACUCAGGGAAACUUGAGCUAAUACCGGAUGAUGACGUAAGUCCAAAGAUUUAUCGCCGAAGGAUGAGCCCGCGUAGGAUUAGGUAGUUGGUGGGGUAAUGGCCCACCAAGCCGACGAUCCUUAGCUGGUCUGAGAGGAUGAUCAGCCACACUGGGACUGAGACACGGCCCAGACUCCUACGGGAGGCAGCAGUGGGGAAUAUUGGACAAUGGGCGAAAGCCUGAUCCAGCAAUGCCGCGUGAGUGAUGAAGGCCUUAGGGUUGUAAAGCUCUUUUACCAGGGAUGAUAAUGACAGUACCGGAGAAUAGCUCCGGCAACUCU